UAAUACGUAGGGUGCGAGCGUUGUCCGGAAUUAUUGGGCGUAAAGAGCUCGUAGGCGGUGUGUCGCGUCGGUCGUGAAAACUUGGGGCUUAACCCUGAGCUUGCGGUCGAUACGGGCAUCACUGGAGUUCGGCAGGGGAGACUGGAAUUCCUGGUGUAGCGGUGAAAUGCGCAGAUAUCAGGAG
rnacentral:rRNA from 1 species